rnacentral:tRNA from 1 species
AGGGCGGUAGUUCAAUCUGGAAGAAUACCUGACUGUCACUCAGGAGGAUGUAGGUUCGAGUCCUAUCCCGCCCUG